rnacentral:rRNA from 1 species
CCAAGGUCCGGAACGAUGAUCCGGUUUUCGGCCGGGGAUUAGUGGCGAACGGGUGAGUAACACGUGGGCAAUCUGCCCUUCACUCUGGGACAAGCCCUGGAAACGGGGUCUAAUACCGGAUAUCACUUCUGCUCGCAUGGGUGGGGGUUGAAAGCUCCGGCGGUGAAGGAUGAGCCCGCGGCCUAUCAGCUUGUUGGUGAGGUAGUGGCUCACCAAGGCGACGACGGGUAGCCGGCCUGAGAGGGCGACCGGCCACACUGGGACUGAGACACGGCCCAGACUCCUACGGGAGGCAGCAGUGGGGAAUAUUGCACAAUGGGCGGAAGCCUGAUGCAGCGACGCCGCGUGAGGGAUGACGGCCUUCGGGUUGUAAACCUCUUUCAGCAGGGAAGAAGCGUGAGUGACGGUACCUGCAGAAGAAGCGCCGGCUAACUACGUGCCAGCAGCCGCGGUAAUACGUAGGGCGCAAGCGUUGUCCGGAAUUAUUGGGCGUAAAGAGCUCAUAGGCGGCUUGUCGCGUCGGGUGUGAAAGACCGAGGCUUAACUCCGGUUCUGCAUUCKAUACGGGCUAGCUAGAGUUCGGUAGGGGA